GACGAACGCUGGCGGCGUGCUUAACACAUGCAAGUCGAACGGUAAGGCUCCAGCUUGCUGGGGUACACGAGUGGCGAACGGGUGAGUAACACGUGGGUGACCUGCCCUGCACUUCGGGAUAAGCCUGGGAAACUGGGUCUAAUACCGGAUAGGACCGCACCGUGAGGGUGUGGUGGAAAGUUUUUUCGGUGUGGGAUGGGCCCGCGGCCUAUCAGCUUGUUGGUGGGGUAAUGGCCUACCAAGGCGGCGACGGGUAGCCGGCCUGAGAGGGUGGACGGCCACAUUGAGACUGAGACACGGCCCAGACUCCUACGGGAGGCAGCAGUGGGGAAUAUUGCACAAUGGGCGGAAGCCUGAUGCAGCGACGCCGCGUGGGGGAUGACGGCCUUCGGGUUGUAAACUCCUUUCACCAUCGACGAAGGGUUUCUGACGGUAGAUGGAGAAGAAGCACCGGCUAACUACGUGCCAGCAGCCGCGGUAAUACGUAGGGUGCGAGCGUUGUCCGGAAUUACUGGGCGUAAAGAGCUCGUAGGUGGUUUGUCGCGUCGUCUGUGAAAUUCCGGGGCUUAACUCCGGGCGUGCAGGCGAUACGGGCAUAACUUGAGUACUGUAGGGGAGACUGGAAUUCCUGGUGUAGCGGUGAAAUGCGCAGAUAUCAGGAGGAACACCGGUGGCGAAGGCGGGUCUCUGGGCAGUAACUGACGCUGAGGAGCGAAAGCAUGGGGAGCGAACAGGAUUAGAUACCCUGGUAGUCCAUGCCGUAAACGGUGGGCGCUAGGUGUGGGUUUCCUUCCACGGGAUCCGUGCCGUAGCUAACGCAUUAAGCGCCCCGCCUGGGGAGUACGGCCGCAAGGCUAAAACUCAAAGGAAUUGACGGGGGCCCGCACAAGCGGCGGAGCAUGUGGAUUAAUUCGAUGCAACGCGAAGAACCUUACCUGGGCUUGACAUAUACAGGAUCGCGCCAGAGAUGGUGUUUCCCUUGUGGCUUGUAUACAGGUGGUGCAUGGUUGUCGUCAGCUCGUGUCGUGAGAUGUUGGGUUAAGUCCCGCAACGAGCGCAACCCUUGUCUUAUGUUGCCAGCACGUUGUGGUGGGGACUCGUAAGAAACUGCCGGGGUUAACUCGGAGGAAGGUGGGGAUGACGUCAAAUCAUCAUGCCCCUUAUGUCCAGGGCUUCACACAUGCUACAAUGGUCGGUACAGUGGGUUGCCAGUCCGUGAGGGCGAGCUAAUCCCGCAAAGCCGGUCUCAGUUCGGAUCGGGGUCUGCAACUCGACCCCGUGAAGUCGGAGUCGCUAGUAAUCGCAGAUCAGCAACGCUGCGGUGAAUACGUUCCCGGGCCU
rnacentral:rRNA from 1 species